rnacentral:ncRNA from 1 species
UAACCUACAUAGUGAUAUGUGGCUGAAUUAUCAGAAGUCAGCAGAGGUCAUAAGUUUUGUAGAUAUGCUGAUGAU